rnacentral:rRNA from 1 species
GACAGAGGCCUCAAGCGUUAGGCGGAAUCACUGGGCUUAAAGCGUGUGUAGGCGGGUCGUUAAGUACCUUGUGAAAUCCCACGGCUCACCCGUGGAACUGCUGGGUAUACUGGCGAUCUUGGGCCAUUCAGGGGCAACUGGAACAAGCGGUGGAGCGGUGAAAUGCGUAGAUAUCGGGAAGAACACCCGUGGCGAAGGCGGCACUCUGGGACGGUACUGACGCUGAGACGCGAAAGCGUGGGGAGCGAACAGG